GACGAACGCUGGCGGCGUGCCUAAUACAUGCAAGUCGAACGAGAGCAACCGGUGCUUGCACUGGUCAAUCUAGUGGCGAACGGGUGAGCAACACGUGGGUAACCUGCCCAUCAGAGGGGGAUAACAUCCGGAAACGGAUGCUAAAACCGCAUAGGUCUUCGAACCGCAUGGUUUGAAGAGGAAAAGAGGCGCAAGCUUCUGCUGAUGGAUGGACCCGCGGUGCAUUAGCUAGUUGGUGAGGUAACGGCUCACCAAGGCCGUGAUGCAUAGCCGACCUGAGAGGGUGAUCGGCCACAUUGGGACUGAGACACGGCCCAAACUCCUACGGGAGGCAGCAGUAGGGAAUCUUCCGCAAUGGACGCAAGUCUGACGGAGCAACGCCGCGUGAGUGAAGAAGGUUUUCGGAUCGUAAAACUCUGUUGUUAGAGAAGAACAAGUGCUAGAGUAACUGUUAGCGCCUUGACGGUAUCUAACCAGAAAGCCACGGCUAACUACGUG
rnacentral:rRNA from 1 species